rnacentral:misc_RNA from 1 species
GAUGAAGAACGUAGCGAAAUGCGAUAAGUAAUGUGAAUUGCAGAAUUCAGUGAAUCAUCGAAUCUUUGAACGCACAUUGCGCCCCUUGGUCUUCCGAGGGGCAUGCCUGUUCGAGCGUCAUUAUAACCCCUCAAGCUCAGCUUGGUGUUGGGGCCUGCUGCACUGGCAGCCCUUAAAAUCAGUGGCGGCGCCAUCUGGCUCUAAGCGUAGUAAUUCUUCUCGCUAUGGAGUCCUGGUGGAUGCUUGCCAUCAACCCCCAAUUUUUCUAUGGUUGACCUCGGAUCAGGUAGGGAUACCCGCUGAACUUAAGCAUAUCAAUAAGCGGAGGA